GUGAGGAAUAUUGGACAAUGGAUGGAAAUCUGAUCCAGCCAUGCCGCGUGCAGGAAGACGGCCCUAUGGGUUGUAAACUGCUUUUAUACGGGAGCAAUAAGGUCUAUGCAUAGAUUGAUGAGAGUACCGUAUGAAUAAGCAUCGGCUAACUCCGUGCCAGCAGCCGCGGUAAUACGGAGGAUGCGAGCGUUAUCCGGAUUUAUUGGGUUUAAAGGGUGCGUAGGCGGCUUUGUAAGUCAGCGGUGAAAUUUUGCAGCUUAACUGUAAAAGCGCCGUUGAUACUGUGAAGCUAGGAUUAGGUUGCUGUGGGCGGAAUGUGUGGUGUAGCGGUGAAAUGCAUAGAGAUCACACAGAAUAUCGAUUGCGAAGGCAGCUCACAAAGCCAAUAUUGACGCUGAGGCACGAAAGUGUGGGGAUCAAACAGGAUUAGAUACCCCGGUAGUCC
rnacentral:rRNA from 1 species